rnacentral:rRNA from 1 species
GACGAACGCUGGCGGCGUGCUUAACACAUGCAAGUCGAACGGAAAGGCCCUUUCGGGGGUGCUCGAGUGGCGAACGGGUGAGUAACACGUGGGUGAUCUGCCCUGCACUUUGGGAUAAGCCUGGGAAACUGGGUCUAAUACCGAAUACACCUUGCCGGCUGCAUGGUUGGUGGGGGAAAGCUUUUGCGGUGUGGGAUGGGCCCGCGGCCUAUCAGCUUGUUGGUGGGGUGAUGGCCUACCAAGGCGACGACGGGUAGCCGGCCUGAGAGGGCGACCG